CAACGAAGAGUUUAGAAAGAACUAUGUACUCCUGAUGAAGGUCGGCGAAAAGAAUUGCGAUUCUCCGUGCCUAUCAGAUUCACUUUGUUUUGAUUAUGGCCUCGAACAAGUCGCCACAUG
rfam:Vigna angularis cultivar Jingnong 6 chromosome 1, whole genome shotgun sequence.